rnacentral:rRNA from 1 species
AACAGGAUUAGAUACCCUGGUAGUCCAUGCCGUAAACGUUGGGCACUAGGUGUGGGGACCAUUCCACGGUUUCCGCGCCGCAGCUAACGCAUUAAGUGCCCCGCCUGGGGAGUACGGCCGCAAGGCUAAAACUCAAAGGAAUUGACGGGGGCCCGCACAAGCGGCGGAGCAUGCGGAUUAAUUCGAUGCAACGCGAAGAACCUUACCAAGGCUUGACAUGUUCUCGAUCACCGUAGAGAUACGGUUUCCCCUUUGGGGCGGGUUCACAGGUGGUGCAUGGUUGUCGUCAGCUCGUGUCGUGAGAUGUUGGGUUAAGUCCCGCAACGAGCGCAACCCUCGUUCCAUGUUGCCAGCACGUAAUGGUGGGGACUCAUGGGAGACUGCCGGGGUCAACUCGGAGGAAGGUGAGGACGACGUCAAAUCAUCAUGCCCCUUAUGUCUUGGGCUUCACGCAUGCUACAAUGGCCGGUACAAUGGGUUGCGAUACUGUGAGGUGGAGCUAAUCCCAAAAAGCCGGUCUCAGUUCGGAUUGGGGUCUGCAACUCGACCCCAUGAAGUCGGAGUCGCUAGUAAUCGCAGAUCAGCAACGCUGCGGUGAAUACGUUCCCGGGCCUUGUACACACCGCCCGUCAAGUCACGAAAGUUGGUAACACCCGAAGCCGGUGGCCUAACCCUUGUGGGGGGAGCCGUCGAAGGUGGGACCAGCGAUUGGGACUAAGUCGUAACAAGGUAACC